rnacentral:rRNA from 1 species
CCACCACCAAAGCAUUCUCUGGUGUUGAAGGCCCUGCAAAGCAGCAUCGCGGUGGCGGAGCGUCGUUUGCGACGCCCAACACACAAAACAAGCGGUGAGUGCUUUGGGGUGGGGUGACUGCGUACCUUUUGUAUAAUGGGUCAGCGACUUAUAUUCUGUAGCAAGGUUAACCGAAUAGGGGAGCCGGAGGGAAACCGAGUCUUAAUUGGGCGUUAAGUUGCAGGGUAUAGACCCGAAACCCGGUGAUCUAGCCAUGGGCAGGUUGAAGGUUGGGUAACACUAACUGGAGGACCGAACCGACUAAUGUUGAAAAAUUAGCGGAUGACCUGUGGCUGGGGGUGAAAGGCCAAUCAAACCGGGAGAUAGCUGGUUCUCCCCGAAAGCUAUUUAGGUAGCGCCUCGUGAAUUCAUCUCCGGGGGUAGAGCACUGUUUCGGCUAGGGGGCCAUCCCGGCUUACCAACCCGAUGCAAACUGCGAAUACCGGAGAAUGUUAUCACGGGAGACACACGGCGGGUGCUAACGUCCGUCGUGAAGAGGGAAACAACCCAGACCGCCAGCUAAGGUCCCAAAGUCAUGGUUAAGUGGGAAACGAUGUGGGAAGGCCCAGACAGCCAGGAUGUUGGCUUAGAAGCAGCCAUCAUUUAAAGAAAGCGUAAUAGCUCACUGGUCGAGUCGGCCUGCGCGGAAGAUGUAACGGGGCUAAACCAUGCACCGAAGCUGCGGCAGCGACACUCAGGUGUUGUUGGGUAGGGGAGCGUUCUGUAAGCCUGUGAAGGUGGCCUGUGAGGGUUGCUGGAGGUAUCAGAAGUGCGAAUGCUGA